GACACAGUAUGGUAUAAAGGACCACAGGACCACCGGCUAGUUGGAAGACUUCUCCCACCGAUCCGGACGACGGGAUGCCGUAUGACUCUGUGGUGAGCAAUGCAGAGGUACUACUGUAUCAGUACACACCAAGCCAUGCGGUGCGGUCGACAUGCUGGAGGGAGAGGAUGUGAUCUACAGGGACCUCGACAGGCUCAAGAGGUGGAGCAGCACAAGCUUCAUGAAGUUCAACAAGGCCAAGUGCAAGGUCCUGCACAUGGGUCAGGGCAAUCUCAAGCACAACUACAGGCUGGGAGGAGGCUGGAUUGAGAGCAGUCCUGAGGAGCACUUAGGGUGUUGGUUGACAAGAAGCCCAAGAUGAGCCGGCAGUGUGUGCCCACAGCCCAGCAAGCCAACUGUACUCUGGGCUGCAUCAAAAGGAGCAUGGACAGCAUGUUGAGGGAGGUGAUCCUAACCCUCUACUCUGCUCUCAUGAGACCAAGAGGAAUGUGGACCUGCUCAGUGACUGCAGCAGGACUAGGAGCAAGUCCUAGCUUCCAUCAGCUGUUCCCUGACCCACAGCCUUUUUUCUCUGAGCAUUCUCUAACACCAACCAUCAGUGGAAGACCAUGCUUUCUUCAUCAGCCUCAGCCUGGCCGCAAAAUACUGGCAGCUGCUGGCAUGUUUGGGAUGAAUUCCACAGUACAGACAUCCAGCAUUUGUUUAAAUAGAAAUAAAACAGAUGGUUAAAUAUGACAGUUUUGGAUGUGCUGGCAGAUGUAUUUGGAUAUAUUAGCAGAUCAUAUUUUACAGGUGUCAUAGACACAUGUACAUAUUAUUGCUGAAAUAGGGGCUUGAAAUAUUUUUAGUUUUACCUCCAAUUUUUUCCAGUAUCACAUUUAAGGUAUUUGGCAUCAUAUAGUGUGAUAAUACAUCAACUAUUACUUCUCUUUGUGCCUGUGUUUGCCUUUUAGCAUUGAUUUCUCUCACAACACGGAACUUGACACACCUGUUUGUUUUGUUGUGUGCUCUUUUUUUAACUGGGCACAACUGAUUUCAGAUAAAAUUUCAGAGGAAAACCACUGAACUUUCUGGUCAGAAUUACUUUCAUGUCACUUCCUGUUUUAAAUGCCUGGCUUUAUCUUGCUUCAAAGUGUUUGAAUUCUAAGUGAAUUUCAUUAAAACAUUUUAAAACAACUGAGUUAGCCUACAGAUUUUUAAAAUGUUAUUAAUAUUUAUAUCAUAACUAGUAAUACAACUUUAAAAUACAUAUUAUACCCUGCUAAGAUAAUCUAAGUACUAAGACACAUGAACAAGUUAUCAUGAGAUAGAAACUUGCCAUGUGUGAGAUGAUCCAUCUAGACUUUAUCUGCCUCUGUGCAUCUAUUUAGCACACAGUAAAAUAAUUUAAAGUAGAUUUUCCUGUAAUGAAAAAAUGCUAGAGAACUCCAUGGGUGAUCUCUACAAUGUAUUUUAAAUGUGAAAAUAAAAAGUAUGCCAUUGUACAAGA
rnacentral:lncRNA from 1 species